CUUUACUAUAGCCUGGAAUUGUGUUCGGGCUUCGCUUACGCAGGAUAGGUGGGAGGCUAUGAAGUUCUGCUUGUGGGCAGAAUCGAGCCAACGGUGAGAUACCACUUUAGCGAGGCUAGAAUUCUAACCCUUGCCCAUGAUCUGGGAAGGAGACAGUUUCAGGGGGGUAGUUUGACUGGGGCGGUCGCCUCCUAAAGGGUAACUGAGGCGCGCAAAGGUCCCCUCAGUCUGGACGGAAAUCAGACAUAGAGUGCAAAGGCAGAAGGGAGCUUGACUGCAAGACCUACAAGUCGAGCAGGGUGGAAACACGGUCUUAGUGAUCCGACGGUGCCGCAUGGAAGGGCCGUCGCUCAACGGAUAAAAGUUA
rnacentral:rRNA from 1 species